rnacentral:tRNA from 1 species
GGGCCUCUAGCUCAACUGGCAGAGCAGCGGACUUUUAAUCCGCGGGUUCAGGGUUCGAGCCCCUGGGGGCCCACCC